rnacentral:rRNA from 1 species
CCCUUAGAUGUUCUGGGCCGCACGCGCGCUACACUGAUCGAUUCAACGAGUUUUGAAAUAAUUUUUUGAUUUUUUCAUAUCCUUUGUCGGAAGGCAUGGGUAAUCUUUUAAAUGUCGAUCGUGAUGGGGCUAGAUUCUUGCAAUUAUUAAUCUCCAACGAGGAAUUCCUAGUAAACGCAAGUCAUCAGCUUGCAUUGAUUACGUCCCUGCCCUUUGUACACACCGCCCGUCGCACCUACCGAUUGAAUGGUCCGGUGAGGCUUUGGGAUCUGAGCGGAAAGAGCGUUUCGCUGUUUCUGCUCGGAAAACUCAGUCGAACCUUAUCAUUUAGAGGAAGGAGAAGUCGUAACA